GGGGAUUAGUGGCGAACGGGUGAGUAACACGUGAGUAACCUGCCCUUGACUCUGGGAUAACCUCCGGAAACGGAAGCUAAUACCGGAUAUGACGCACGGAGGCAUCUCCUGUGCGUGGAAAGAAUUUCGGUCAAGGAUGGACUCGCGGCCUAUCAGGUAGUUGGUGAGGUAACGGCCCACCAAGCCUACGACGGGUAGCCGGCCUGAGAGGGUGACCGGCCACACUGGGACUGAGACACGGCCCAGACUCCUACGGGAGGCAGCAGUGGGGAAUAUUGCACAAUGGGCGCAAGCCUGAUGCAGCAACGCCGCGUGAGGGACGACGGCCUUCGGGUUGUAAACCUCUUUUAGUAGGGAAGAAGCGAAAGUGACGGUACCUGCAGAAAAAGCACCGGCUAACUACGUGCCAGCAGCCGCGGUAAUACGUAGGGUGCGAGCGUUGUCCGGAAUUAUUGGGCGUAAAGAGCUCGUAGGCGGUCUGUCGCGUCUGCUGUGAAAUCCCGAGGCUCAACCUCGGGCCUGCAGUGGGUACGGGCAGACUAGAGUGCGGUAGGGGAGAAUGGAAUUCCUGGUGUAGCGGUGGAAUGCGCAGAUAUCAGGAGGAACACCGAUGGCGAAGGCAGUUCUCUGGGCCGUAACUGACGCUGAGGAGCGAAAGCGUGGGGAGCGAACAGGAUUA
rnacentral:rRNA from 1 species